ensembl:lncRNA
AACCAAUAAGAAAAAUGGUUAUAGAAUAUUUAUACUGCUUAAGGCUAGUAGACUAGAAAACAUGAACAUGAAAGCUCAUAAUCUAUUCUUGUUAGUGGAAUGUAAUGUCCACAGACUAUGAAAUCUGAUGGAGUUACUCUCAUAAAAAUGUUUUCUAAAUGCCUAGUUUUUCCAAUAUUCCCUGAUGGAUACACUAUGGGAAGAAAAAAAAUCAAGAUUGACUUCCAUGAUAAAUCUCUGGUGCUAGAACGGAUAUCCUGCAAGAAGCAAUCAUCAAAUACCAGAAACAAAUAUCUGGAAAGUUUUCCUGCCCUACUUUUUCAUACUAAGUCGGUGAGUGUCCCUACACUUUUCUGCACGCCCAUGACACAAAGAGAGGAAGAAACUUAAAGCCACAUUGAAGAUGUGCAGCACUUACCUAUAGUGUUCCAGGCUCAGAGCCCAAGGUGGAGCUGUUUGAAAAACGAUUACCCUUCUAUUUAUCUGAGGAGUCCACUGGAGGAUAUUUGUUUAAAAGAAUGCCCUACUUAAAAUCUCUGCCUGCCAUUUUUAAUUUCUGUUGAUGGUGUGGUAUCUCAUAGAUAUUAAGCUACUGUGUUAGCCAAAAAAUUGAAGAGAGGCUGUUUCUUUAAAAGACAACAUAUUAUCUUAGCUCUUUAUGUUGUAUUCCUUUUGUAUUUUCUACUACAUGAGAGACUGUAUUUCUCAGCUGCUUAAAACUCUCCAAGUUAUCUUUAUUUUUUUUCUCAAUAUAUUCAAAGAUGUACUUAACUGAGAUCUUUAAAGAGUUCCACCCACCGUGUGUAUCUUACAGAAGGUGUUGGAUAAGCAAUGAAGACAUGAGACAUAAUGACAGUGGUGAUGAUGAUUCUGGUAGUCAAAUUUUCAAAGUGCAAAAAAUGUGGAUUAAUCCCAUAUCAGUAUUAAAAUCACCAUAGUCACUAUUUUUUUCCCUUGACAUGCACAUUACAAAAUAGUUCAUUAUUCUCGCUUGCCAACUGCAUUCUAUAGCAGAAAGCACUAUAAAAUUGUGAAGAGCUCAUACUUUCAAUUGGGUAAACCUGAGUCAGAUUACUGGCAGUUUUAGUAACUACUUAUGUUACUCAGACAAGUUCCUUAAUUUCUCCAGUCCUUAGCGGCCUCUUCCAUAAAACAAGAAAAGGAACAACUAUA